UGCAGUCGAGCGAGAAAGCGUUCUUCGGAACGUGAGUACAGUGGCGGACGGGUGAGUAACACGUGGGGAACCUGCCCUCAAGCUGGGAACAACCCGCCUAACGGCGGGCUAAUACCGAAUGUGGUUGUCAGUCCGCAUGGAAUGACAAUUAAAGGUGGCCUCUCCUUGGAAGCUACCGCUUGUGGAUGGCCCCGCGCUCAAUUAGCUAGUUGGUAGGGUAACGGCCUACCAAGGCGACGAUUGAUAGCCGACCUGAGAGGGUGACCGGCCACACUGGGAUUGAGAUAAGGCCCAGUCUCCUACGGGAGCCAGCAGUCUAGAAAUUUGGGCAAUGGGCGAAAGCCUGACCCAGCGACGCCGCGUGGGGGAUGAAGCUUCUCGGAGUGUAAACCCCUGUUAGGUGGGACGAAAGCCCGUAUACGAACAGUAGGCGGGUUUGACGGUACCACCAGAGGAAGCUCCGGCUAACUCCGUGCCAGCAGCCGCGGUAAUACGGGGGGAGCAAGCGUUGUUCGGAGUUAUUGGGCGUAAAGGGCGUACAGGCGGUGGUGUCAGUCAGAUGUGAAAUCCCCCGGCUCAACCGGGGACCUGCAUUUGAUACUGCAUCACUUGAGUACAGGAGAGGAGAGCGGAAUUUUCGGUGUAGCGGUGGAAUGUGUAGAUAUCGAAAAGAACACCAGUGGCGAAGGCGGCUCUCUGGCCUGAUACUGACGCUGACGCGCGAAAGCCAGGGGAGCAAACAGGAUUAGAUACCCUGGUAGUCCUGGCUGUAAACGUUGGGCACUAGGUGUUGGAGGUAUCGACCCCUUCAGUGCCGAAGCUAACGCAUUAAGUG
rnacentral:rRNA from 1 species